AAUUUAUAUAUUUGAAUAUGAUAAUGUAUUUUGUUUUGUUAAGUAUAUUAUAAAAUUUUGAACCGACACCAGUUUUUUUAAGCUUAUAGAAAAGUCCUAGGUGCCAUACAGAGUCAAAUGCACGUUUAAUGUCUACAAAAUAUGCAUAUAAUGGUUGGGAUUUAUUUCUGAUGUAUUUUUUGUAUAAGAGUAUUUAUUACAAACAUAUGAUCAGAUGUACUACAUCCUCUUUUAAAUCCAAUUUGCUCUUUACAAAUGAGUUUUUUCUUCUCAAAAAAUGCUGUCAGUCUAUUAUUUAAUAUUCUGUUAAAAAGUUGACCGAUAGUGUCACUUAUUGUUAUACCUCUAUAGUUUGAAGGAUCAUUAUAUUGACCCCUUUUUAUGUCUAGUUGAAAUGUUCCCUUUGACCAUAUUUUAGGAUAGAUUUCUGCGGAAAAAAAUCUAUUAAAAGCUUUUAAAAAUAGUGGGUUAAAAAUUGAUUGGCAUUAUUUAAUCAUUUCAUUUAGUAUCAUAUUUAAUCCACAGGAUUUGCCAUUCUUUAAAGAUUUAAUAGCUUUUAGUCGUUCAGACUCUAUGAUGAAAUUCAUUAAAAAUAUUAGUUUUUUCUAAAUUAUUAAGCUCCUGUAGAAUUGAUUCAUUUUCAGCAAUUGUAUUUUUAUUUAGGGAUUUAAAAUGAUUCUCCCAAUCUUCCAAACUGAUAUUUGUUUCCUUUUUAUCAUUGUUAUUUCCUUUUAAUUUUUCAACUAAUUUCCAAUAGUCUUUAGGAUUUUCAUUUUGAGGAUUAUCUAGCUUAUUAACCAAAUCACUCUUGAACUUGCUCAUUUUAUCUGUUCUCGUUUUUCUGUAAUAUUUUAGGCAUUUAAAAUAUGACCCUCUAAUGUAUGGGUCAUUGCUUUACUUUUGUAAUAGAUUGCAUUUAUGAUCUAGUUCGAUCUUGUUUUAUUUUCUUAAGACUGUAAUCAUACCAUAACUAAUGCUUUCUGUUAUUAACUUUCUUUUAAUAUUUUUUCAUAGUUUUCUUUUUUAAGGCUAAGUCGCCUGCAGUUAUAAUGAUUUUAUUUAGGUUUUUUAUCAUAAAAAAUUUAUGCUUAUGAGUUAUAUUCAUGUAUGUUGUUUUUAAUAAUAAAAAAUUCCCAAGGCAUAUAAGUGUAACGGGAAUAGAUUGUCUUCAUGCACAUGUGUAAUACAUGUAAGCAUAGGAAUUUUAGCACCAAAAAUUAGGUUGUAAAGUGAACUGAAAUUUGUACUGUUAACAUUGUAUUUUUUUUAAGGAUCUUUAAGAGAACAAAGAUUUGCAUAAUUUUGUAUUUUGAUAAAUUAAUUUUUCAUGUAGGUGGAAUGGCUAUACAAACGUAAUCGUAUUUCGACUUUUGUACAAAUUUUUUUAUAGCUGUAGUCCUAAUGACAAGAUUUUUUUUUACUUGCAUAUUUACAAACAAAAUUAUGUUUUCUUUUUCUUGUUUCCCUGAGUGAGGUCCUACACUUAGACUUUCGCUGGCAUUGACAAAAGGACACAGGUUUCCUAAAAUGGGUUUUUCCUGGUCGGCCACGGAACAUUGAAAUGUAGUUAUUCAGUUUUUCAAAUGCAAAAGGUUGACAUGAGAUUAUUCAGUUUUUCAAAUGCAAAAGAUUGACAUGAGAUUAUUUUUCUAGUAUAAGUUAUUGAAUUCAUAUUGUAUAAUGUAUAGUGUGUAAUUUGUCUUAUUAAAUCGGCAGCUCACAAUAUGCAGUUCACGAGCUAGUCAACAAACAAAA